rnacentral:rRNA from 1 species
AUUGAACGCUGGCGGCAUGCCUUACACAUGCAAGUCGAACGGCAUCGCGGGAAAGCUUGCUUUCCUGGCGGCGAGUGGCGAACGGGUGAGUAACACAUCGGAACGUACCGGCUAGUGGGGGAUAACCCGUCGAAAGACGGGCUAAUACCGCAUACGCUCUUCGGAGGAAAGCAGGGGACCUCUGGGCCUUGCGCUAGCCGAGCGGCCGAUGUCCGAUUAGCUAGUUGGUGGGGUAAAGGCCUACCAAGGCGACGAUCGGUAGCGGGUCUGAGAGGACGAUCCGCCACACUGGGACUGAGACACGGCCCAGACUCCUACGGGAGGCAGCAGUGGGGAAUCUUGGACAAUGGGGGCAACCCUGAUCCAGCAAUGCCGCGUGGGUGAAGAAGGCCUUCGGGUUGUAAAGCCCUUUCGGCAGGGAAGAAAUCGGCGGGGCGAAUAACCCUGCUGGAUGACGGUACCUGCAGAAGAAGCACCGGCUAACUACGUG